CGAAAUAGCUCAGUUGGCCAGAGCACGUGAUUUGUAAUCUCGGGGUCGUGGGUUCGAAUCCCUCUUUCGG
rnacentral:tRNA from 1 species